rnacentral:rRNA from 1 species
ACGGAGGGUGCGAGCGUUAAUCGGAAUUACUGGGCGUAAAGGGUGCGUAGGUGGUUGUAUAAGUUAUCUGUGAAAUCCCCGGGCUUAACCUGGGCAGGUCAGAUAAGACUGUAUGACUCGAGUAUAGGAGGGGGUAGUGGAAUUUCCGGUGUAGCGGUGAAAUGCGUAGAGAUCGGAAGGAACACCAGUGGCGAAGGCGGCUACCUGGCCUAAUACUGACACUGAGGCACGAAAGCGUGGGGAGCAAACAGGAUUAGAUACCCUGGUAGUCCACGCUGUAAACGAUGUCAACUAGUUGUUGGCCUUAUGAAUGAGGUUAGUGACGCAGCAAACGCGAUAAGUUGACCGCCUGGGGAGUACGGUCGCAAGAUUA